rnacentral:tRNA from 1 species
GCCCGAGUAGCUCAGGGGAUAGAGCAACUGCCUCCUAAGCAGUAGGUCGCAGGUUCGAAUCCUGCCUCGGGCG